UACGUAGGUGGCAAGCGUUGUCCGGAUUUACUGGGCGUAAAGAGCGCGCAGGCGGUCGAUCAAGUCGCGUGUGAAAGCCCCCGGCUCAACUGGGGAGGGUCACGCGAUACUGAUCGACUCGAAGGCAGGAGAGGGUAGUGGAAUUCCCGGUGUAGUGGUGAAAUGCGUAGAUAUCGGGAGGAACACCAGUGGCGAAGGCGACUACCUGGCCUGUUUCUUGACGCUGAGGCGCGGAAGCUAGGGGAGCAAACGGG
rnacentral:rRNA from 1 species